rnacentral:rRNA from 1 species
UUUUAACGGCCGCGGUAUAUUGACCGUGCAAAGGUAGCAUAAUCAUUAGUCUUUUAAUAGGGGGCUGGAAUGAAAGGUUUAACGAAUCAUUAAUUGUCUCAUUUUUAUAUCUUAAAAUUUAAUUUUUAAGUUAAAAAGCUUAAAUUUUAUUGAAGGACGAGAAGACCCUAUAGAGCUUUAUAUUAUUUUGUUUAUUAUAGUAUUGUUUUAUAUUUAAAGUAUUAAAUUAUUUGGUAUUUUGUUGGGGUGACAGAAAUAAAUAAUUAACUUUUUUGUUUUUUAAACAUUGAUGUAUGAAUUGUUGAUCCUUCAUUGUUGAUUAUUAGAUUAAGUUACCUUAGGGAUAACAGCGUAAUCCUUUUUUGGAGUUCAAAUUUACAAAAGGGCUUGCGACCUCGAUGUUGGAUUAAGAUUAUAAUUUGGUGUAGUAGCUAAAUUAAUAGGUCUGUUCGACCUUUAAAUUCUUACAUGAUCUGAGU